AAGGAGGAGGUUGCUCUGCUGUUCUUGCACAGCUACAUAGUGUAAAAGUUGAGGAGAGAGUUUUCGUAUUCCGACCUGCCACUACUACUACUCGUCGAACAACUACACAAUCGCGUCGUCCAGCAACCUUCAAGGGUCAAGGACGCUAGUGGAACUUCUUGCAGUCGUCCCAUCAAGCACUGAAUGGAGCCUAGAGCAACAUGGAAGAAAUGCCAUUCUUUGUUUCAACGGAUCACAGAAUACAAGAAAAGUUUGGUUGGGCACCGCGGGCAUUCCUGUCGAGCUGAAGAAUAAAAUUUUCCUCAUCUCUCGUUGAAAGACGCUGCAUGUCCUAAACUUUCGUCAAAUCUUCUUACUAGCAUUCGUGUAAGACAUUUGAACAUAUCUAUCUUGCACAGGUUGUAAAAUUUCUCUUAAUGGAAUUAAUUAUUUAACUCCUGUCAACAUGACUAAAAAAGAAGGCUUUCUUUCAACACUCAGCUAUUAUAUCUAAACUCAGUAUCUCUUCUCCGUGCUACUAUCUGUCUUCAAUUCUGAUUGCACAUUAUUCGACUUUGCCGAAGCGUUUGGCACCAUUUCACACUAAUGUCUGUCUCGAAAGCUGGAUAAUGCAAACAUUGACCAAACUGUUUUUUCUUGAAAUAAAAGAUUUCUGCAAAGGUAAGUUCCCAGUACGUAGUGGCUAACAGUUAUUCUUCGUCUUUUCAACCUGUAAUCUGGGGUAACACAAGGAUGUGUCCUUGGUCUCCUGCUUACUCUCAUUUUUCUUACCACUUUCCCCGACGGUUUACUGUUUUUCUCUAUUAAAUUAUUCGCAGAAAAUUGUGUAAUCUACCACAAAAUUACUAAAGCUGGUGACUCUCGUAACCUUCAAAGUGACCUUGACAGAAUACCUUCGUACUGCAAGAGCUGGAACUUGAAUCUCAAUAUUAACAAAUUUAAAUAUACGCAAGUAUCUCGUAGUAUGAACACGAACACAAAUGCACUCCCUUAUAUCAUCAGUGGUACCAGACUAGACUCAGAUGUCCCCUACAGCCAUCUGCCGUGUGAUAUCGCCUUCUAACCUCACAUGGAAAGCACACUUCAACUACGUAAGUCGCUAUGCCAAUAGUCGGCAAUGCGGGAGCCUUCUCAAAGUACUCUAAUUCAACUCAUUCAAAGCGUUCAUAAGCGUGAUUCUGGUUUUAUGUUGUCUAAUUAUUUUCUUUACGCAGGUGUUACGCCUAUGAAACCUCAGUCAACAUGAACUCUCAUGUCGUCCCAAUGUGCACAAUUGUGUAUUUUGCGUCAAAUUUAUCAUUCAAACCCCACUAUAAAUGAGCAAAGUAUAAUACGUCCAUCAUGAAAUCGUCGCGCUACAAUCGUAGCCUUAAAAAUCGUUUAACAUUUGCCGUACAAAGCUGUGCCAUCAUGCUUAUACAACAUGAGCAAGUCUUCAAUACAACCACCUGCUCUUUUUCAUCUCCGUUAUUCCGGACAAUGCAAGUUUGAAAACGGCCGUGAUCAACACGGUAUGUGGAACUUUACAGUGGGAGACGUAUGUCUUUGUUAUUUAUGAACCACUCCUUUCUCUAGUGCCUUCAGGCUUGUAAAUGAAACUAAUACUAAAUAAAUAAAUCUGUUGUUACUAACUAGAGCUUAACGAAAAUUUCACUGCGGAAAGCAUUUCAAUAAAAUGUAUAUACAAGAGCGGC
rnacentral:lncRNA from 1 species